GGCCCCCCCGUCUCUGUGGCAAAAGAGUGGGAAGAUCUCCAGGUAGAGGUGACAGACCUACCGAACUUGGUGAUAGCUGGUUGCCUAGGAAAUGGAUAGAAGUUCAGCCUCGUACUCCCCAGCUCACACAAGCACCAGCACGCCAUGAGACCGAGAAACACACGAGAGUUAGUCAAAGAGGGUACAGCCCCUUUGAUCAAGGACACAACCUUACUACAGGAGGUUAAGGAUCAUAUUAAAUAAGAUUA
rnacentral:rRNA from 1 species